rnacentral:rRNA from 1 species
CCUACGGGUGUCAGCAGUGAGGAAUAUUGGUCAAUGGCCGGGAGUCUGAACCAGCCAAGCCGCGUGAAGGAUGAAUGUGCUAUGGGUUGUAAACUUCUUUUGUAAAGGAAUAAAACGAGGCACGUGUGCCUGUUUGCAGGUACUUUAUGAAUAAGGAUCGGCUAACUCCGUGCCAGCAGCCGCGGUAAUACGGAGGAUGCGAGCGUUCUCCGGAUUUAUUGGGUUUAAAGGGUGCGUAGGCGGGAUUUUAAGUCAGCGGUGAAAGUCCGGGGCUCAACCAUAGACUUGCCGUUGAAACUGGGUGGCUUGAGAAUGUGAGAGGUAGGCGGAAUGCGGAGUGUAGCGGUGAAAUGCUGAGAUAGUACGCAGAACCCCGAUUGCGAAGGCAGCAUGCCGGG